ensembl:lncRNA
CGAAAGGCGACCGGACGCACACGGCACGGGGCAGCCAGCGCUGAGUCCUUGCCAACGCGGGCCACACGAACCAGCCAGGUGCUCUGCGCCGCCGACCCGGAGGAGCUCCGACGCCGAGACUUCUCUAAAUGUGUUAGGGCUUUUGAAGCCCUCCCUCUUGAUGGGUGUUAACGGCGGGCUGCCGCUAAGGCUGGUUUAGUGUCUGGGACUGCGGUGGGUGAGUCUGCGACCCUGGCUGCGCAGCGAUCAUGGAUAUGGCGAAAUGGGCCAUCACCUCCGCCAUUGGUCAGGGUGCUCUCCACCUGUGGAGGGGUGGGCACUCCUCGCCCUCUACUCCUGCGCAAGACUAGAAUUUGGGGUGACAUCGGGUCACCUACGCCCCUGGAAGAUGGCAAGCAAGGGCUCCACUCUCAUCUGGGCGGGGGACCCCAUGGAAGGUUCCGCACUGGAACCUCUGGAUUCUUCAAAAGCCUAGUUAUGUGCCAUUGGGAGGGGGCUUAGGGGUCUUCAUUAUCCCCUUUACUCUCCUCUCCCAGUGCUUCCCCCACACUCACCAACAGCAGUCUCUGCCUCCUCUCCCACCCUCAGGGCCCCUGGGUCCACACCACCCCAAUGGGCUCCCCUAGUACCCACUCGCCUCGCGCUUCCCCCUGUGGGAACAGAACCCUCCUCACCCUACCCCCUGCAGACCCCGCCAGUGGAUCUCAUCUUUCUCUCUUCCGCAGUGGGCGGGGCAGGAGAAGGGGCGGGGAUCCUGGAAGCUCACCGUGCCAAGGCCCCAGGGCUCGCGAAUGCGCAUCUCCCUGGGAAGGUUCACCAGCGGCCGGGCGCUGAGCCCGCAGCACUGCGAAGCCAGUAGAGCCUGCGCUGUCUCUGUGGCCCUCAGUGCCUGCCCCUCACACUGGCUUGGGGAGGAGCUAGUGUGACUGGGUCCUUUGGUGUCUCCCUGGGACUCGCACUCAGCUGGCACCACACAGAGGCCAAGGGGGUGUCAGGUGAGGGGAGCAGAGGGCUGGAGCCCCAUGGUCUCAGCGGCAGCAGAGGAGGCUGUGGAGCUGGGUGCUGGGCCCAGAGAUCAGAGCUACCGGGGUGGGUGAGGGAGACACAGGAAGAAUUUCUACCCCGAAGUCAGUCUUGAUUACCCCUCCCUGAGCCCCCUCUAGGCUUCCCACCCUGGGAACCUAACCAGAGUCAGCCUGGGGUCUGGGGGAGUGGGGGCUAUCUCUCAACCCUGGAGAUAAGAGAGUUGGCUUGUUAACCCCCUGGUGACCAGGCAGAGCCGAAAUCCACGAUUCCAGGUCUGACAGGGGCUGCGUGAGGGGCCUUAGGCAAAGUGAGGACCAGGGCCUGAGUGGCUGGGGGGUUGGGUCCUGGGGUGGGACAGGCCCUCUCAGCCAGCUGGGGGUCAUUUGCACAGCAGCUGUUUCUUCCCAGCCCAGAGCUUGGGAAUCCCUCACUUAGACACAUGCAUCAGAAAGGAAAACAGACCUCCUGGGGAAAAAAGGAGGGAGCGGGGCCUCUAGGCCAGCCCCCAAGAGGGACCUAGGCCUCUCCUUGGGUACCUCAGGGCCACCCCUUGGGUAGUGCCCAGGAGCCAGCUCCUUAGGGCACAGCUAGCUAUCUGGUCACCUGCCAGAGCUAUAUCCCCAAACCCAGCCUCCCAGGGUCUGCCCUUCCUAUAGGUGGGGGCUCAGGGAAGGAGGCCCGGGCUGGCUGGGUGGGGCCUGGGGUGGGGACAGGCUGGGAGGUCAGAGGCGUUCUGUGUCCUCCCCCAGGUAUUCAGAUAAGCCCCAUGCCCCCUCCCUCCUGGGUGGGAAAAGCCAGUUCAAAGUCAGCCCCACCCCUGCCUUCUGCACUCUGAGGCCCCUCUUCCCUGACCUCGGGUGUCUGCUGACUCCUCCUGCCCCUUGGGGAGAAUGAGGUGGGGUCCAGGUGGAGGGUUCCAGGGCCUCUCGAACCCCAACAGGAACUUCAAAACUCAGCAUGGUGAUGAAGCCGAUUGUCUUCAUUUCCCACUGAGCCAUCAUUUCCCCAGUAUGGAGCUGCUGUUCGGCUGCUUGUGGAGAAGACCUCGGCCCUGAAGAAGCCUGUGAGUGACGGUGACUGAGGGCCUGGGCACCUCCCCGUCCUGCUGCCAGCCUAGAGGGGGACGGCCCGUCUAGGGGGCUCCCUGGGAAGAAGGUGGGGGUGUGAUUUCCCAGAGCCCCUGCCUCCCACCCUCACCUGCAUCCCUGAUGCCACCUAGCUCUGAGCUCUCCCCAAUCUCCCCAUUCCAUCCUAGCUGAAACUCUUGCAAGACAGUGAGGUGCUGAUGCCAGAACUUUCCUCUGGGGAGAAGGAGGUGUGCAUAUCACAGCGGCAUGGGGGUGGCAACUCUUUCUCUGAAGGCAUUUUCCAGAAUACCCCUUCUCGGCCCAAUAGGAACAGGUUUGGGGCUGCCAGGGCCUCUCUCAGCAAGUUGCCUAAUCCCCACCCGCUGGCAGUCUGCCCUCAACCUCCACCAGAGUUUCCCAUAUGGCAGACUCACCUGGGCUUGUAGGUGAUGACCCCGGCUGCCGGGGAUUUAUCAUGAAAAUAGGACAUAUUUCUUUCUCUCUUUCAUACCCAGGCACUGAGGCCUGGAGGGGUUCCGCAGGCUGGCCAGUGGGUCUGGGCAGAGCUAGACUACGUCACUGUCUAUGUGACCCGGCUUGGCUGCUCCAGGUGGGAGGCACCUAGGGUGCCAUCUCAGGAUUGGGGGCAGGUUCACUUUUGGAGGUACCUGGG